rnacentral:rRNA from 1 species
GUGAAGCGGCAACAGCUCAAAUUUGAAAUCUGGCGCUUGCGCCCGAGUUGUAAUUUGCAGAGGAUGCUUCCUGCGCGGUGCCUUCCGAGUUCCCUGGAACGGGACGCCAUAGAGGGUGAGAGCCCCGUACGGUCGGCAACCAAGCUUUGUGUAGCACCUUCGACGAGUCGAGUAGUUUGGGAAUGCUGCUCUAAAUGGGAGGUAAACUCCUUCUAAAGCUAAAUAUUGGCCAGAGACCGAUAGCGCACAAGUAGAGUGAUCGAAAGAUGAAAAGCACUUUGAAAAGAGAGUCAAACAGCACGUGAAAUUGUUGAAAGGGAAGCGCUUGCGACCAGACUUGGGCCUGGUAGUUCAGCCGUCCUUCUGGGCGGUGCACUCUGCCGGUUCAGGCCAGCAUCAGUUGCCGGUUGGGGAGAAAGACGGCGGGAAUGUGGCUCCUCGGAGUGUUAUAGCCCGCUGUUAUGUCCUUCCGGCGACUGAGGUUAGCGUUCUGCACGGAUGCUGGCGUAAUGGUCAUCAGCGACCCGUCUUGAAACACGGACCAAGGAGUCAUCCUGGCAUGCGAGUGUUUGGGUGCCAAACCCCUACGCGUAAUGAAAGUGAACGGAGGUGAGAGCUUCGGCGCAUCAUCGACCGAUCCUGAUGUUCUCGGAUGGAUUUGAGUAAGAGCAUGUCGGGCUGGACCCGAAAGAAGGUGAACUAUGCUUGGAUAGGGCAAAGCCAGAGGAAACUCUGGUGGAGGCUCGCAGCGGUUCUGACGUGCAAAUCGAUCGUCAAAUCUGAGCAUGGGGGCGAAAGACU